UACGUAGGGAGCAAGCGUUGUCCGGAAUCAUUGGGCGUAAAGCGCGCGUAGGCGGCCCUGUAAGUCCGUUGUGAAAGUCAAAGGCUCAACCUUUGAAAGCCGAUGGAUACUGCAGGGCUAGAGUCCGGAAGAGGCGAGUGGAAUUCCUGGUGUAGCGGUGGAAUGCGCAGAUAUCAGGAGGAACACCAAUAGCGAAGGCAGCUCGCUGGGACGGUACUGACGCUAAGGCGCGAAAGCGUGGAGAGCGAACAGG
rnacentral:rRNA from 1 species